rnacentral:lncRNA from 12 species
CAAGAGCCAUGUCUUGGUGACUUCCGCCUGAGAGCACAUGCACAGCUUCCUGUUUUGGUCUGAUAGCUUCCCCUGGGCUUUCAUAGAUGCAAAAUUACUCACACAGAGAUGGGUUGCCCAUGCAAAAAAUUUCAAGAGUCCUGUGACUGGUCUUCUCACAUUCUGUUCUGCACCAAACCAGUCCCCGUGUGCUUUUUAAAGCCCCAGGCUAACAAACGUCAAACACUGAUAACCUGUAGGAAACCUGGGACAGCUGCAAGAGUCAGUCUCCCUGGAGGGCAGCACAAAGCAGACUCAGCGGCAGGAGAGAAGUGGACACUGAGGAAAUAACCUCUGACAAACUAGCCCCGGCCUGAAGAGAAGGUAUGACUAGCAGAAUUUGAAGUCUGAGGUACGAUGAGUAUAACCAGAGCAAUAACAAAUCUUGUA